rnacentral:lncRNA from 1 species
AUUGCCCGAAUAUAAUGUCUUAACUUCAUUUGCUUUGUAUUGGUGGUCCUCCCAAGUUAGACAUCGUUACACAGAUAUUAGAGUUAAAGGUGUAGACAAGAGGGUUUUGAAAUAUCAUUCUUGUUUUUCUGUAAGAGGGUAUGAAAGGCUCACACCUGUUGAACUAGUAUAUGCUUUUUUUUGUUCGCGUUUUAUUUAGUAGCGUCCACGUUUUGUCACAUUCUGUGGGAGAUAAAGAGUAUAGGUGUCCCAUGAUCAUAUAAAAACAAAUAAUUAAUCGUAUAAUUAACUA